rnacentral:rRNA from 1 species
AACGAACGCUGGCGGCAUGCCUAACACAUGCAAGUCGAACGGGAUCCUAGCUUGCUAGGUGAGAGUGGCGGACGGGUGAGUAACACGUGGGAAUCUGCCUUUUGGUUCGGGAUAACCGCGGGAAACUGCGGCUAAUACCGAAUGCCCUCGAGAGAGGAAAGAUUUAUCGCCAGAAGAGGAGCCCGCGUCCGAUUAGGAGUUGGUGGGGUAAAGCCUACCAAGCCGACGAUCGGUAGCUGGUCUGAGAGGAUGAUCAGCCACACUGGGACUGAGAUACGGCCCAGACUCCUACGGGAGGCAGCAGUGGGGAAUAUUGGACAAUGGGGGCAACCCUGAUCCAGCAAUGCCGCGUGAGUGAUGAAGGCCUUAGGGUU